rnacentral:rRNA from 1 species
GACGAACGCUGGCGGCGUGCUUAACACAUGCAAGUCGAACGGAAAGGCCCUGCUGUUGUGGGGUGCUCGAGUGGCGAACGGGUGAGUAACACGUGAGUAACCUGCCCUUGACUUUGGGAUAACUUCAGGAAACUGGGGCUAAUACCGGAUAGGAGCUCCUGCUGCAUGGUGGGGGUUGGAAAGUUUCGGCGGUUGGGGAUGGACUCGCGGCUUAUCAGCUUGUUGGUGGGGUAGUGGCUUACCAAGGCUUUGACGGGUAGCCGGCCUGAGAGGGUGACCGGCCACAUUGGGCCUGCGAUACGGCCCAGACUCCUACGGGAGGCAGCAGUGGGGAGUAUUGCACAAUGGGCGGAAGCCUGAUGCAACAACGCCGCGUGCGGGAUGACGGCCUUCGGGUUGUAAACCGCUUUCGCCUGUGACGAAGCGUGAGUGACGGUAAUGGGUAAAGAAGCACCGGCUAACUACGUG